ACCUUUGCACAGUGGCAAUAUCGUAACCAGUGAAGUGUAACUGAGGUGCGAUUAUUGCUAGUUGAAAACUUUUACCAAUACCCCGCCAUAGAGAUGUGAAAUACCACCUCUGUGGCAAUUUUUAGUAACUCCUAAGGGAG
rnacentral:snRNA from 1 species